AGCAGCCGCGGUAAUUCCAGCUCCAAUAGCGUAUAUUAAAGUUGUUGCAGUUAAAAAGCUCGUAGUUGAAUUUCGGGGUUAGUAGGUUGGUCAUGCCUCUGGUAUGUACUGGUCUCACUGAUUCCUCCUUCCUGAUGAACCUUAAUGCCAUUUAUUUGGUGUUUUGGGGAAUUUGGACUGUUACUUUGAAAAAUUAGAGUGUUUAAAGCAAGCUAACGCUUGAAUACAUUAGCAUGGAAUAAUGAAAUAGGACGUUCGAUCCUAUUUUGUUGGUUUCUAGGAUUGACGUAAUGAUUAAUAGGGAUAGUUGGGGGCAUUAGUAUUCAAUUGUCAGAGGUGAAAUUCUUGGAUUUAUUGAAGACUAACUACUGCGAAAGCAUUUGCCAAGGAUGUUUUCAUUAAUCAAGAACGAAAGUUAGGGGAUCGAAGACGAUCAGAUACCGUCGUAGUCUUAACCAUAAACUAUGCCGACUAGGGAUCGGAUGAUGUUAAUUUUUAAUGUACUCAUUCGGCGCCUUAC
rnacentral:sRNA from 1 species